GCGCUUGCUACGGGUGGUAGACGAGUUGCUGUCGGCUCACAGCUCGCAACACCUGCUGGAACACUUGUCCUGGUGGCUGCUUCAGCGGCUGACGGUGAUUGGAUGGCCGCAGGGGUAUGACGUCAUUGCCGGGAGCGAAACAGCUGCAAAAUAUGCCGUCAAGCUGGACUGCUACACACUGGCAGCCACCAGGUUCGCUCUGCUGUUCGCAUCGGAGAGCGCAGUCCAGCUGUUCUCGGUUGAAACGCGUCACCGCGCCGAGACAUUCCUCAGAGACCUCAUCUCAGACUUGGCGGACGUAGCUGGCAAGGCUCCCUGGCUGAGCGACAAGGCUAAAGCCGCCGCUCGGAAAACGCUUCUGGAAAUUGAAGUUGUUCUCUGGCCCCCAGACUUGGGAGCGUCGAACACGACGCUCUGGAAGCUGUACUCGCAAUUUGGCGUCUCUCGCGAGCCG
rnacentral:lncRNA from 1 species